UACGAUAAAGGCAAACCCUGGGUAAUCAGGGGACGCAAAGUAAAGGAUCUUGAGAGCCGAUUAAGGAGUUUAUACGGCUUAUAAAAAGAUAGCCUUACUGCCGAAG
rnacentral:ncRNA from 1 species